AUGUCAUGUUAAUUCUGAGCAUGAAGAAAGGAUUCAAUCAAUGAUUUAGUCAUCAAAGUAUCUCGACAAGUCCAAUCAUUCAGUAAUUAUCAGUGAAUCCUAAUGAUCAAGAGAUGUCAAGAACAAAAUGGAAAACUAGAAAAAGGCACAGAAAGGUGAGUGUCUCUGAAUUAGUGGAAAGAUUUCCAUCUAAAUGAUACAACAAUCUUAUUUUAUCCAGUGUUUAUAAUAUAUAUGUGGUUAUGGUGCUUAUGAUGAUAUGUUAGAAUUGGACUGGAAUAUAUAUAUUUACAAAAAUAUAACCCUUUCAUCCAUACAUACAUUCCACAGAUAGCAAGAGAGCACCAGUUGUAGGUCAGUCAGAGCACUGCCAGGGGUCACAGCACAGGACACACAAGGUCCUUGCUCUCAGGGAAUUUAUAAUCUAGAGAAAAGACUGGCAAAAAAUGAGAAAACAAUAAAUACGAUAGUGACGUACUGUGUUUCAAGUUAUAAAAAAUUAUAGGCUCAACAAAGACCUUCUUAGGUUGCGCAGUCACUUAUGAGUGAUUUCAGGGUUGAGUUAUGCUUGCCUUUUUUACACUUAGUUAACAACAGAAGGAAAGUAAAUUACUGAAAUCUGGGUUGUUCUUUAGCAACAGACCACCUAUGCUGAAGGGUACUCCUUCAGUCAAUGAAGAGUUAUUUUCCAAGCCAAUUAAUGACAAGGGAGAGAUGAGAAUCCUAGACCAAUUUUCUUCCAGAACCUGCCUAAACUUUAUUCAUUUCACAGAAAUGAAUUCUUUCUACAAGAAGAUUUUUCAGAUAUCCACUAUCCAGAUUACUCAAUAUUCUGUGAAGAUGAAAGGGCUUAGACCCCAGAAAGCCCUGCACCUGCAAAAGAGACGACUGACAGAUAGGAUGGAAGUUCAUUGGCUUUUAAAUAAACUUUGCUGGAAAGCCUAAGGCUUGCUUUAUUCCUGCCUCCGAAGUUUCAAAGGAAAAGUUUCUCCCUGCCAAAUCCCAGGACAAAGAGUAAAUGACCUGCCUAUUCUCUGUCUCUGAGCAAAAGAGCCUGAAGGGACAUGGCACUGGUUGAAAUAAACUUAAUGUGAAGGUUCUGCAGGAAAGUAAAACCUGACUCUGAUGUUGCUCCUGAUUCACUUGUCAAACUCCCCUUGUAGCUUUCUCAGUUGGUGAUUUAAUUCCUCCUUUCCUUUUGUAAUGUUCCUGCCCACCUUCAUUCUGCAUUCUAGUACAUUUGGAAUAAAGACCUGUGCUGAUAGGUUCCUCCAGUUCAAUCUCAAGGCUUCAUGCUGGAAUGCUUCUGGUCUCUCCUCCUCAACACACUUAUAUGUACACAACAGGGUAAGUCCCUGUCAGUGUAGAGAUACCCUGACUUAUAUACAUGCUUUACUUUUAUGGGUAUGAUUAUUAUGGUAAAAACAAUUAAUGUCAGAGCUACCCACUUAACAAAAUUUUAAGUGUAUAGCACAGUAUUGGUAACUAUAGGUCCAGUGUUGUACAGCAAGUCUCCAGGAUUUAUAGAUUAAGUAUAAUUGAGAAAUAUUGUCCAUUGACUAGUAACUCCCCAUUUUCCUUCCUCCAACCCCUUAAAAGCCAUAAUUCUAUUCUCCCAUUCUAUGAGUUUGACUCUCUUAAGCACUACACAUGUAAGUGUGAUCAUCCAGUGUUUGUCCUUCUCUUACUGGACAUAUUCAAUUCACAUAGCAUAAAGUCCUCAAGGGUUAUCCAUUGUGUCACAUAUGGCAGCAUUUCUCUCUUUUGACCAUCAUACCAUCCAGCAAUCCCACUUUUGAAUUGACAUCAGAAUCUCAAAUAGGUAUUAGCAUUCCAAUGUUCAUUGCAGCCGUAUUCAUAAUACUCAAGAUACAGAAACAACCUAAAUAGGUGGAUGAGUGGAGAAAAUGUGCUGUCUACCCACUAGAAUGUUGUUCAGUCUUAAAAUACAUCUGUGUGAGCUUCUUAAUUGACAUA
rnacentral:lncRNA from 1 species